CCCUUAGAUGUUCUGGGCUGCACGCGCGCUACACUGAUGCGUUCAACAAGUUGGACCUCGUCCGAGAGGAAAUCGGGGGAAUCUUUUGAAAACGUAUCGUGAUAGGGAUAGAUUAUUGUAAUUAUUAAUCUUCAACGAGGAAUGCCUAGUAAGCGCAAGUCAUCAGCUUGCGUUGAUUACGUCCCUGCCCUUUGUACACACCGCCCGUCGCUCCUACCGAUUGAAUGGUCCGGUGAAGCGUUUGGACUAUGGUUUUCUGAUGGUCCGCCGUUGGAUUACCGUGGGAAGUUCGUUAAACCUUAUCAUUUAGAGGAAGGAGAAGUCGUAACA
rnacentral:rRNA from 1 species